GAUGAACGCUAGCGGCAGGCCUAAUACAUGCAAGUCGAACGAGAUCAAGAGCUUCGGUUCUUGGUUUAGUGGCGCACGGGUGCGUAACGCGUAUGCAACCUACCUUCCACAGGGGGAUAGCCCACCGAAAGGUGGAUUAAUACCGCAUAAGACCACGGUCCUGGCAUCAGGAUGUGGUCAAAGCUUUGGCGGUGGAAGAUGGGCAUGCGUGCCAUUAGUUAGUUGGUAGGGUAACGGCCUACCAAGACUUCGAUGGCUAGGGGUUCUGAGAGGAUGGUCCCCCACACUGGUACUGAGACACGGACCAGACUCCUACGGGAGGCAGCAGUAGGGAAUAUUGGGCAAUGGCCGAGAGGCUGACCCAGCCGUGCCGCGUGCAGGAAGAAGGCCUUCUGGGUUGUAAACUGCUUUUAUCUGGGAAGAAAACGCCCCUGCGGGGGUAACUGACGGUACCAGAUGAAUAAGCACCGGCUAACUCCGUGCCAGCAGCCGCGGUAAUACGGAGGGUGC
rnacentral:rRNA from 1 species